GAAAUGCGAUAAGUAAUAUGAAUUGCAGAAUUCAGUGAAUCAUCGAAUCUUUGAACGCACCUUGCGCUCCUUGGUAUUCCUUGGAGCAUGCCUGUUUGAGUAUCAUGAAAUCUUCAAAGUAAAUCUUUUGUUAACUCAAUUGGUUUCUACUUUGGUAUUGGAGGUCUUUGCAGCUUCACACCUGCUCCUCUUUGUUCAUUAGCUGGAUCUCAGUGUUAUGCUUGGUUCCACUCGGCGUGAUAAGUUAUCUAUCGCUGAGGACACUGUAAAAGGUGGCCAAGGUAAAUGCAGAUGAACCGCUUCCAAUAGUCCAUUGACUUGGACAAUACUUUUAUGAUCUGAUCUCAAAUCAGGUAGGACUACCCGCUGAACUUAAGC
rnacentral:misc_RNA from 1 species